rnacentral:rRNA from 1 species
UACGGAGGGAGCAAGCGUUACUCGGAAUUACUGGGCGUAAAGGGCGCGUAGGCGGUCUAUCAAGUCUUGUGUGAAAGCCCCAAGCCUAACUUGGGAAGUGCACAAGAAACUGGAAGAAUAGAGUUCCGGAGAGGAAGAUGGGAUUCCCGGUGUAGCGGUGAAAUGCGUAGAUAUCGGGAGGAACACCAGUGGCGAAGGCGAUCUUCUGGACGGAUACUGACGCUGAGGCGCGAAAGCUAGGGGAGCAAACAGG